UACGUAGGGUGCGAGCGUUGUCCGGAAUUAUUGGGCGUAAAGGGCUCGUAGGCGGUCCAUCGCGUCGGGAGUGAAAAGCUGGGGCUUAACCCCAGUCCUGCUUUCGAUACGGGUGGACUAGAGGUAGGCAGGGGAGAAUGGAAUUCCUGGUGUAGCGGUGAAAUGCGCAGAUAUCAGGAGGAACACCGGUGGCGAAGGCGGGUCUCUGGACAGUUCCUGACGCUGAGGCACGAAGGUCAGGGGAGCAAACGGG
rnacentral:rRNA from 1 species